UGAACACACAGGUCAAAGGUCAAAGGCUUUCUAAAGACAUGGAAACUCUUUGUCUCCUGUUUGGACGAUGGAGCUGAUGUUCAGCUCCCACUUGAGGUGAUGAAGGAGACCAGGAGACGGAAGGAAUCCACAGUGGUGACGGGGGAGUCACACGGGGUGAUGGGGGAGGGCGGGACUUCCUGAGAUCCACAACCAUCUCCACUGUCUUCACAGCGUUGAGCUCCAGGUUGUUCUGGCUGCACCACGACACCAGACCUGUAGGUGGACUCGUCCCCACCAGAAAUCAGUCCAAUGAGGGUGGAGGAGCUUGACGGACUGGUGGCUGGAGGUGCAGCUGUUGGUGCACAGGGAGAAGAGCAGAGGGGACAGAACGCAGCCGUUGGGGGGAACCGGUGCUGAUGGUCCGAGAGGCUGAGACAUGUUUCCCCAGCUUCACCUGCUGCUUCCUAUCGGACAGGAAGUCAGUGAUCCACUUGCAGGUGGAGUCGAGCACGUGCAGUUGGGAGAGUUUGUCCUGCAGCAGAGACGGGACGAUGGUGUUGAAAGUCCACAAACAGGAUCCUGGCGUAGGUUCCUGAGGAGUCCAGAUGCUGGAGGAUGUAGUGGACGCCAUGUUGACUGCGUCACUGAACCGCAGGGGGUCCAGAAGGGGUCGGUAGAGGUUUUGAGGUGGACUUCUCCGGGCGGAGGUCGCUCGUUGGGUGGGGGGCUUUGGCUUGUAGCUGGUGGUCCGUCUGAGGCCUCUCCAGACGUGUUGGACAGUCGUUAGCAGACUCUUUAUAUAAGUGCCCGUCCCCCGUCCCUUUUCAUCAUCUGAAGGAAAUACAAAAUGGAAUCGAGCAGUUAGAAAAGAGAAAGAAGAGUAACUGUAUCAUUAUAAUCAUUCAGUCAGUGGGUUCCUCAUUUCAUCUUUGUGUGUUUUUCUGAGAACUGGUCGACGUGGCGAAGGGGUAGAGAGGGUGUGCAGGGAACUGCAAGGUUUGUGGUUUGAGCCCCGGCUGCUCCAUGUUGAAGUGUCCCUGAGCAAGACACCUGACCCCUAAUUGCUCCCUGGGCAAAAAUGUAAAAAUCCAUUUGUUAAAAAUGUAAUGUAAGUCGCUUUGGAUGAAAGUCAGCUAAAUGACCUGUAAUGUAACUGAAGUGUCUUGGUGAGACGCCGAUGACGCAACGCUGUGGCUCUGCUAUUGGACAAGAGACACCAGCUGACCAGAACAGCUGAUUCCAUCAUCAACAGCACCAAACAGCGGCAGCUCAGAGGAGUGAUGAGAAAUAAACCACAGGCAUCAUGGAGACAUCGUCUCACAGACUGAACGCACACUAAAGCUUCAACACGUUGGAAUCAAACUGCAUCAGAAUCACUUCCUCUGUCCUCUGAGGGACAAAAGUGAUGCAAACCUCUUGGAUCUUCAGAUGAAUCUCAAACUCACGGCUCCAUUUUGCAACAAGACGACAAUUUAGACUGAAGAUUCUAUUCAACUUUAUUGUUGUUGCACAAAGUACAAAUACUGAGAUGAUGAAGGGCAGAUUAAACAGGAGAGCAGAGUGAAGCACAUAUAACAUUGUGUAAUAUAAUAAUGUACAUAUAACAUUGUGUAAUAUAAUAAUGUACAUAUAACAUUGUGUAAUAGAAUAAAGCACAUAUAACAUUGUGUAAUAGAAUAAAGCACAUAUAACAUUGUGUAAUAUAAUAAUGUACAUAUAACAUUGUGUAAUAUAAUAAUGUACAUAUAACAUUGUGUAAUAUAAUAAUGUACAUAUAACAUUGUGUAAUAUAAUAAUGCACAUAUAACAUUGUGUAAUAUAAUAAUGUACAUAUAACAUUGUGUAAUAUAAUAAUGCACAUAUAACAUUGUGUAAUAU
ensembl:lncRNA